rnacentral:rRNA from 1 species
GUGGGGAAUUUUGGACAAUGGGCGCAAGCCUGAUCCAGCAAUGCCGCGUGCAGGAAGAAGGCCUUCGGGUUGUAAACUGCUUUUGUACGGAACGAAACGGCUCUGGUUAAUACCCGGGGCUAAUGACGGUACCGUAAGAAUAAGCACCGGCUAACUACGUGCCAGCAGCCGCGGUAAUACGUAGGGUGCAAGCGUUAAUCGGAAUUACUGGGCGUAAAGCGUGCGCAGGCGGUUUUGUAAGACAGGCGUGAAAUCCCCGGGCUCAACCUGGGAAUGUCGCUUGUGACUGCAAAGCUGGAGUGCGGCAGAGGGGGAUGGAAUUCCGCGUGUAGCAGUGAAAUGCGUAGAUAUGCGGAGGAACACCGAUGGCGAAGGCAAUCCCCUGGGCCUGCAUUGACGCUCAUGCACGAAAGCGUGGGGAGCAAACAGGAUUAGAUACCCGAGUAGUCC